UAUUUAUGAGGUUGCAUUGAAUUAAUUGAAAUGGCCUCCCAAGAGUGGAAUCAAGUGGAGAGGGGAUGGGUGUUAAAAUCGGUGAAGUGUGAUAUUGGCAUGAAUGAUACAGCUUGCAUGAUGAUUUGUUGGCAUGAAA